UGCGAAGACCGGGUGAUCGCUCGAUACUCCGGUAUCGGGAGGAAAGUCCGGACUCCAUGGGCAGGGCGCUGGGUAACUCCCAGGCGGAGCAAUCCGACACCGGCACCACAGAAAACAAACCGCCGAUGGCCAAGGCGACGGGAUCCCAUCUGGUCGCUGCGGCUCAGGUAAGGGUGAAACGGCGGGGUAAGAGCCCACCGCGGCGGUGGUGACAUCGCCGGCACGGUAAGCGUCGCCCGGUGCAAGGCCAAAUAGGAAGACACCUGGCCGCUCGCAAGAGUGGCACAGAACGGCCGGCCCGGCCGAGUCUUCGGGUAGGUCGCUUGAGGUUCGGGGCAACUCGAAUCCCAGAGAAAUGAUCAUCCAUGCAGCGGCGCAAGCCGCCGCAGGACAGAAUCCGGCUUAUAGGUCUUCGCCCCGC
rnacentral:RNase_P_RNA from 1 species